rnacentral:rRNA from 1 species
AACGAACGCUGGCGGCAUGCCUAACACAUGCAAGUCGAACGAGACCUUCGGGUCUAGUGGCGCACGGGUGCGUAACGCGUGGGAACCUGCCCUUAGGUUCGGAAUAACUCCCCGAAAGGGGUACUAAUACCGGAUAAUGUCUUCGGACCAAAGAUUUAUCGCCUUUGGAUGGGCCCGCGUUGGAUUAGCUAGUUGGUAGGGUAAAAGCCUACCAAGGCGACGAUCCAUAGCUGGUCUGAGAGGAUGAUCAGCCACACUGGGACUGAGACACGGCCCAGACUCCUACGGGAGGCAGCAGUGGGGAAUAUUGGACAAUGGGCGAAAGCCUGAUCCAGCAAUGCCGCGUGAGUGAUGAAGGCCUUAGGGUUGUAAAGCUCUUUUACCCGGGAUGAUAAUGACAGUACCGGGAGAAUAAGCGCCGGCUAACUCCGUG